UGCGAGAGAAACACAGGUGAGGAUUGGCUCAAGAUUGCUCACAUCCCAAUGCUAAAUUUAUUGUAUCCGCCUGAACUGAGAGAAAAUUAAAACACCCAUGGAUCUUCGAUUUAUUCAGAUGCAAAAGCAGCAGAACCAAUUGAAGCAUAGAAGAGUAACUUUCAAGAAUGCAAGGCACUGCAUUCAUGAUUCUUCACAUAUCAGGAGAAACAGUAAGUCUCUAUUGUUGCUCUUUCCACAACCUCACUCAAUUAAUUUGCAAGUGAGAACCUGUGUUCAUCAGUCCUCCAAUUCCACACUACUGUCGUAGUGUCGUCUCAAAGAAAAGACAUCUAGUCAACUUGCCAUCCCCAGUACCCAGUCAAUUUGCCAUUGGUUCCACGACUGUUCCGGAGGCACUCUGUUGAGGAGGAUUGGAUGCUGACAAGUGAGACAAAGCCCAAAUUGGCACUUACACGUGAAUUGAUGCCAAAUGAAAGAGGUGUACCGUGUAGGAAAGCGAGAGGAUGGACUACACUGCUGGUUU